GACGAACGCUGGCGGCGUGCUUAACACAUGCAAGUCGAGCGGGCGUAGCAAUACGUUAGCGGCGGACGGGUGAGUAACGCGUGAGCAACCUGCCUCUGUCAUCGGGAUAACACUUAGAAAUAGGUGCUAAUACCGAAUAAGACCACGAUACGGCAUCGUAUUGGGGUAAAAAGGUUACUGGACAGAGAUGGGCUCGCGUCCCAUUAGAUAGUUGGUGAGGUAACGGCCCACCAAGUCAGCGAUGGGUAGCCGACCUGAGAGGGUAAACGGCCACAUUGGAACUGAGAUACGGUCCAA
rnacentral:rRNA from 1 species